AUUGAACGCUGGCGGCAGGCCUAACACAUGCAAGUCGAACGGUAGCACAGAGAGCUUGCUCUCGGGUGACGAGUGGCGGACGGGUGAGUAAUGUCUGGGAAACUGCCUGAUGGAGGGGGAUAACUACUGGAAACGGUAGCUAAUACCGCAUAACGUCGCAAGACCAAAGAGGGGGACCUUCGGGCCUCUUGCCAUCAGAUGUGCCCAGAUGGGAUUAGCUAGUAGGUGGGGUAACGGCUCACCCAGGCGACGAUCCCUAGCUGGGAUGAAAGGAUGACCAGCCAAACUGGAAAUUAGACUCAGCACAGAAUCCUAAAGGAGGCAGCAGUUGGGUAAAUUGAACCAUUGGCGGCAGCCUGGUGGAAACCUGACGCAUUUAUUGAGAAGGGCUUCCGGUUUUGAAAUAAUUUCAGCGGGGAGGAAGGCGAUAAGGUUAAUAACCUUGUCGAUUGACGUUACCCGCAGAAGAAGCACCGGCUAACUCCGUG
rnacentral:rRNA from 1 species